rnacentral:rRNA from 1 species
AGCGAACGCUGGCGGCGUGCCUAACACAUGCAAGUCGAACGUGAAAAGGGAAACCUGAGUAAAGUGGCGUACGGGUGAGUAACGCGUAGGUAAUCUACCCCAGAAUCUGGAAUAACCUGCCGAAAGGCGGGCUAAUACUGGAUAGAGCGAGGGAACUCGUAAGAGAGUUUUUCGGGAAAGGGAGCCCGCAAGGGCCUUCGUUCUGGGAUGAGCCUGCGUCUCAUUAGCUAGUUGGUAAGGUAACGGCUUACCAAGGCGAUGAUGAGUAGCUGGUCUGAGAGGAUGAUCAGCAACACUGGAACUGAAACACGGUCCAGACUCCUACGGGAGGCAGCAGUGGGGAAUCUUGCGCAAUGGACGAAAGUCUGACGCAGCCACGCCGCGUGAGUGAAGAAGGCCUUCGGGUUGUAAAGCUCUGUCGGAUGGGACGAACAUCUUCAUAGUGAAUAGCUAUGAGGACUGACGGUACCAUCAAAGGAAGCACCGGCUAACUCCGUG